UUUUAUAUUCUGCUUUAUUCCCAACAGUUUACAGGCACUUCAUAAGGGUGCAUGAAACACGACAGGAUGCUGAUCAUCUGGGGUUUCCUACCUUGACUCUGUUGACAUUGGGGGUCAAGUUGUUGCAGGUGGCUGUCCUGUACAUUGUAGGCUGCUUAGCAGCACCCCGGAGCUCUACCCACUAAAGACCAGGAGCACCCCCUCCUUCACUUGUGACGACCCAGAAUGUCUCCAGUUGCUAAAAGUAGGGAGGACCGAGAAUGAAAAUCACCCCUGGUUGAGACUCUCUGGUGUAUAUUUAGAAGUGGGUCCAAAAAAAAGGCCCCCAGGACCAAGGCUAAAAAUACCUACACCUAUCGAAGACGGACAAGUGUGACCGUUUCUAUUAGCUGCUUCUACAAGUAAAACCUGAACUACAUACAGUGAGGUGCCUCUUCACACCUCCUGGGCAGCUGUCCAGACACGCACACACUGAUGAGUGUUGGUCAGGAAAUGGGAAAAUUGCAACCCUCGUCCUUGCUGCCCGCGAUGUAAGUGGUGCAGCCGCUGUGGAAAAGUUUUGCCAGUUGCUCAGAAAAGCUAAACAUAUAAACAUAGACUUGCCAUAUGAUCUGGCAAUUCUCCUUCCAGAUAUAUAUUCAAAACAGAGGAAGAGGGAGUUCCCUUUGUGGCUCAGCAGUAAUAAACCUGACUAGUAUCUGCGAGGAUGCGGGUUUGAUCCCUGGCCUUGCUCAGUGGGUUAAGGAUCCAGUGUUGCCGGAGCUAUGGUGUAGGUUGCAGACGAGGCUCGGAUCCUGCGUUGCUGUGGCUGUGGUGUAGGUCAGUGGCUACAGCUCCGAUUGGACCCCUAGCCUGGGAACCCCCAUAUACCUAGGAAGUUAAAAAAGAAAAAAAAGAGGAAGGACAAGCUAGUGGAGUAGAAAACUUGAGCUCACCUCCUCCCACGAGAACAGCAAAAUCACAGCUAACUGCUGAAUAACCACCAAUACGAAAGACUGGAAUCUACCAAAACGGUAUAUAUCCAGAGAUAAGAAAUCGCAAAAAAGCGAUGGAAAGAUUCCCCCAAGACCGUGACCUUCAUACAAUUGAUUUCUCUUUUCCAAUGUGACCUUAGCACUCGUUCCUCUUGUCCCAAACCUAGUGACUGCUAAGCCAGCCCUCCCUGAAAGGCCCAACAAUACAUCUGGCAGAAGGAAAAAAACCAGGAAGCACCAUGACCUUGGGGAGGUGAGGCACUAGCUGGAAAAAGAUACCCAGGACUUGACCAAAACCAAGAACCGCUCCUCAAAAGACACAGAAAGAGAGGAGGAGGCAGCAGAGGCCAGCCCGGCCGCAGAACAGGACAAGAUGCCGAUGCACGUGUGCGCGCACGCCGGGCACCGACAUCUCGCGCGGAAAGAGAGGAAGAAGCCGGACUCCAGAUGCACACAAGCCCACAGGUGUGAGUGUCACCAGCAGCCAAAACCUAGGAAAGGCGGGAAAGGUCAGCAGCAUCAUGGCCUGUGGGGCGGCUGACGGGAGCCGGAAAGGUCCUGCUUGUUCUGCGGGUUGUUGUGCAGAUGAACGAGCGUAAAAACAUCAAACUAGAUGCUUAUAGUGGAUGUUGAGUUUAAAAUCAAAUUAAAAACAGCCCCCUCUCCCAAGAGCAAUGUGGGAGCCUGUGAAGGACCCGGGAACGGAGGACAGUCAUCGGGAAAGUGGUUGGGUCUGAACAGCUAGGGUUUGGUUAUUAGUAUCAACUUCUUAGUUGUGACAAAUACUUUCUGGUGAUAUAACGUGUUAAUAAUGGAGGAAGCAGGCAGGGCAUGUAAGGAACUCUGCACUAUCUUUGCGAGUUUUCUGGAAAUCUAAAAACCCUAAGAUAAAAAGUGCAACAGCAAACAAAGCGGGGACUCAAGCAAAUGUUUGUACCACAGUAAUAGCAGUAUUCACGGUAGCCAAAAGGUGGCAACAACAAAUGACAUCUGCGGGUGAACGGGUGAAAGAAGUGUGCUAUUUGCAUGCAAGAGGGUGUUAUUAUUCAACUACCAGAGGGAAUGAAAGGCUGAUGCUGGCGGCAAUACGGAUGCGCCUUGAAAAAUCCCAAGUGAAAUGAGCCAGAUACAACGUGUGGCUCCACCCAUUUGAAGUUCCUAGAAUAGCAGCUGUAUAGGCAGAUCUACAGGCGUUUCUGGGCGGAGAUCACGUCUAACCCAGACGUUCAUGGUGAAGUGUGGGCCAAGAGGAGUCGCUGCUCAGUGGACACAGCUUCUGUUGGGGAUGAUGAAAAACUCCUGCAAAGGGAUAGUGGUGAGACUUGGGCAACACUGAAUAUAUUUAAUGCUACCAAAUUGUACACUUAAAAAUGGCUGAAGUAGUUUUUUUUUUUAAAUAGCCGUAUUGGAGUUCUCAUUGUGGCGCAGCGAAAAGGAAUCCGACUAGGAACCAUGAGGUUGCGGGUUCAAUCCCUGGCCUCGCUCAGUGGGUUAAGGACCCAGCAUUGCUGUGAGCUGUGGUGUAGGUCACAGAUGUGGCUUGGAUCUGGCGUUGCUGUGGCUGUGGUGUAGGCCAGCAGCUGUAGCUCCAAUUUGACCCCUAGCCUGGGAACCUCCAUAUGCCGUGGGUGUGGCCCUCAAAAGACAAAAGAAAAAAAAAAUAGACAUAUUAAAGAGUUCCUCUUGUGGUGCAGCAGAAAUGAACCUGAUUAGGAGCCAUGAGGUUGUGGGUUCUAUCCCUGGCCUCGCUCAUGGGUUAAGGACCCAGCAUUGCCGUGAGCUGUGGUGUAGUCGCUGUGGCUCUGGCGUAGGCCGGCAGCUCCAGCUCCAAUUAGGCCCCUAGCCUGGGAACCUCCAUGUGCUGUGGGUGUGGCCCUAAAAAAAAGACAAAAAAAAAAGUUGAUGAAAUCACUGUACCUCAGUUUGUUCACUAUUAAAAUGGGAUAAACAACAUCUAUGAAACUGAAAUGUCAGUGGAAAACCCAGACUGUCAAAGCAGCCAGCCUCGCUCCAGGGCUCCCUGAUAGCCAGGUACCGCUUGGCAGCCAACAUCCACCAGGCGCUGGUGAGGAGGCGAAGAUGAACCAGACCGAUCCUGUCCUCACAUGUGGGAUAGGAGAAACGAAGGCACAGAAUGGCGCCACCGGGGUUCUGAGAGUCCAUCCACCUCGUGCCCGUUCCUUGCUCUCUGCCCAUCCCAAAGCCCACCCCGCCCAGGGCAGGGCCCGGGUCCCUGGGCCAAGUGUUCUGCAGUGACAUCCCACCCGAGGACUUGCUCUUACAUCCGCACUAAUGUCCUGUCUCUCGUGCACUCUAGAUUUUACCAAGGACGUCUAGAAAUGAAGCAGCAUAAACCAGUGUGUGGGAUUUCGGGCCCAGAGAACCUUUUUAUAUCCUCCUGAGUUGACUCUUUACCAAGUAGCUCCUACUGUGUCCACACCCCGUUGUCACCCAGGGCUGGCCACUUCUUCAGAGACUGCAAGGGGUCUUCCUUCUUGGGAGGCCGUCCCCAGGAACGGGAGCGAGCAGGGCCAGGUGGAAAGAAGCUGGUUGACUCUCAAGAUGCUGUUUCUGAUUUUUUUUUGUAAAG
rnacentral:lncRNA from 1 species